GAUGAUUUCUCUAUACUACUCAUGACAUUUAAUAGGAUUUAUUGGCAUUUAUUUGGAUAAGGAUAACCUUUUGUUGUGGGUCGGAUAAGGAUAAGCUUGAUGCAAAAGAAACUGAAACAUGUUGUUUAAUGACAUUAAUUGGAUAAGGACAACCUUAAUGCAACCACAUCUAUAUAAGACGACUGAACGGUACCAGUCAUGACCACAGAAAACAUAUCGAUUGACAGACUAUUGCAUAACUACAUAUUCUCAGUUGUUCUGUGUUCUUAGGCAAUGGCGAAAAAUAGCAUCUUCCAAGUGAUCAUUGUUUUUCUCAUGGUGCAAGUCUGCUUGCUCAUGAUGAUGGCAGCACCGGCAGCACAUGCAGCUGCUAGACCAGUGGGGUACAAUCCAGUGUGCUGCCCUAGAAACAUUUACUGUUGCGGGUUCGGUGGCGCAUUGGCCAAUUCACCCGUGCCAUCCAUUGAGCCUUGAAGUGUGGUUUUAUUCUCCUCGAGGUAGUAAGCUCGGCAUAUAAAUAAUAUAUGUAGUUUUAUUGUUUCAUGUGUUACCUAUUCCCGAAUAUUUGUGAUGCUAUUUUCAAGAAGAUAUUGUACUAGCUACUUACCUAAUAAAAUGGGAGGAGAUUAUUAUAUAUAUUGUUUUAUGUUUACGUCAGUCCAUUUGAAAACAAGAUUAUUUGGCCGCACUGAUUUAUGGCAAAAAAACGAGUGGUGAGGUGCGUGCCUUUGGGAAUUUCUGUUUUAUUGUUCCGUUGGUCCUCCAUUUGUCGAGAUUGUCUGGGUCGUGGCAGCAUGCUUUAUUUUUCACAAAGGUCAUAACUUUUUAUAGCAUUUAUUGAGUGAUGGAGUACAUCACCAAUUAGUAGAAACCAAUUACUAUUGGCGAUGCUUUUUUUUAAUCAAGGGAUCCACACUCUCUUCCUUUCUUGCAAGAAGGCCGAUGCCAUGUAUUAAAAUUGUCCAACCCUUACAACACCAUCCUUACAAAAGAAUUAACAUAGAAAACAUAUCCUGGGUUAUAUCAAGGGCGUCUUCCUUCCGGACUUGUACGGCGUGAGCAAAACUCGAUGUGGCCUUUGGAUUUCCAGAACAACCUUAGAGCCAGGGUAAAUCAUUCUCUACAUUUUUCAAGUGAGUGCUCAAUUCCUCAAAAAAUAGUCAAAUAAAUAGUAUACGAAUAUAACUUUUUAUUCUUUGAUGGAGCACGAAGGGAUUGUUUGCCGUGGAUCCUAUAUGCGCAAUCUAUCUAUUAAUCUAUUACUAUACUAAUUAGAGACUCCUUCGAAAUUCCCACAAUUAAUCAGAAAAUACGGACUGCUCAUCUGGUGGGACCGAAUUAUUACUGUGUAGAUUUUUUUAAAUUUUCUCACAUUAAUAAAGAUUAAACAAUAAUUAUAAGCCCCCCAUCUGGUGGGACUAAGUUAUUACCACAUAGAUUAACUCAUAUAGUCCUUGGCCAGAAUUUUGCUCCAUUCUCCUAAAUCCAAAUAAUAAUCACUCAAACUCUGUUGUAAAAAUAGAACACUAAAAAAUUACGAUUCAUUCUCUAGUCUCAACUAUUCAAAGGAAAAAAAACUCCCACCUCAAUAUAGGCACUACACAGUCUCUUCCUCUCCCCAUUAAAAAGAUCAUCAACCGGAAGCAAUCUCCAUAAAUUCCAUGGUCACGCAUAGCAUUGUCCAUUGGAUCUGCGAUCGAUCGUCUUGGUCAUUGGCGGAGGCCUUCCUCAAUGGUGUGGCCGAACUCGAUCUGCGGGUGAGGUCAAGAUAACGCUUUGGUCCUAGGGGUUUGGUAUAGGGUCUUACGUAAGGAAAAUGGAAGAAAAAUGAAGUGAAGGCAGAGAACCCAUACACAAAGAGAAGCGAAGUCUGUGCCCCUAGCUACUCAGUAUGCGUACGCGGUUUUCGACACUAGAUGCUGCUUGUUAUUACCAACCAUUUGUAGGCGGUUUGAUUGUUCUGACUAAACCCGGGCAAACGUCAGGCUGGGCUGGGCUUGUAAAAGCCCGGCCUUCAUUCUCAAGCCCGAGCCCGACCCGAAGUCCAAAAACUCUCUGUUUUCAAGCCUGAGCCCGGCCCAAAAUCAAGCCCGAAAGCUCGGCUUGAACGUUGUUUUUAGUGUACGCACGUGCAAGCCUGACCCAAAGCCCGAAAGCCCGUCUCGAAAUACAGAUAAAGAGAAGCCCGAGCCCGGCCCAAACUAUCUUUCGGGCUGCAAAACAAGGCCCGAGCCCAGCCCGAAUGUGAAGCCCGGCCGGGCCGGCCUGUCGAUGCUCGGGUUUAGUUCUAACCACCACCAGCGUCGGCCUUUGCAUCAAGCGAUGCACACAGUCAUUUAUUAAAAAGUAUAGGGUCUCAAAGUAUGAGUAACAUCUCAAGUUGCCAAAAAGGAACAAGAAAUCAAACAAAUAGCCACAACUGACAAAAUAGGAAUGUGGCUAAACACCUAUCUUAUUAAUGGACCAGCAUCUAAACAGGUUGUACUUAGCCCGUGCUACCGUCUCCCAUUGAUUGCACCCAACAGCCAUAAGCCCCCUCUCUACCGCAUGGUGUAGUAAUGACCACUUAGGGAUCCAGCUAGUCGCCCUGAUAGAUAACAUACAAAAAGCUUGUGAUAUUUGUCCUGUUAAAAACACAAUCAUUCCGAUAGUUCCAAAUAGGACAAACUAAAUGCACAAACUAAUUCGUGACGUAGUAUUGGGCUCAACCCCACCUAGCCAGUUACCAAACAAAUUGGAGAUAAUAUUAAGAGGAGGUAUGUUCAACGACACGUGUAUUGUCCGUCACGAUAAGUUGGAAAUGUGGCAAGUGAGAGACAAAUGUUGACUCGUUUCAUCAUGAUCGCAAAACUACACCAUUUACUCCCCUCCCACCUACUCCCUCCGUUCCUAAAUAUUUGUCUUUCUAGAUAUUUCAACAAAUGACUACAUACGGAGCAAAAUAAAUGAAUCUACACUCUAAAAUAUGUCUACAUACAUCCGUAUGUGAUAGUCUGUUUGAAAUGUCUAAAAAGACAAAUAUUUAGGAACGAAGGGAGUACGUUGUAGGCCAACUCUAACCCAUCCACUACAAAAUAGAGGAGGAUCCGUCUGAGCAAAGCUUGGUGGAGUAUAUUUACUUCACUAAGUUUUGGCCGGACAUAGUCGACCCCCUAAAUAUAACCGAGUACAAUUUAUAAUUGGCUUAUACAAUUGGUUGAGCACUUGGUGUGCGUCUGCUUGGGGACUCCGGCAUGGCGAGCACCCCUGCGGCGAGGAACACGGGUUAAACACGUAGCUGAUCAGGAUGCAGACGUUGACAGAUAGCUGCCACCGAGAUGGCAAGCUAGACAUUGCCAAUUGCAGCAUGUUGGUUCCGCUGGCAAGCUUGCUACUCACAUGAUCCUGCUCGGCCUGCACCGUGCCUCGUCCCCCAUCGCGUGCUACAGCUCCUGCUGCUUCCCCUCUGACGGAGGACUGCACCCCAUCACUGUGCUCGACCAUGUAGUGCCUGAAGGGCCUGACUCCUCCGUUGGACAGGCCUAAGGAAAGCUGAAGCUGGAUGGCGUCGUCGACUGCCUGCGAGAUGGGCGCCGGAGUGAGUGUGGUGUUGCGUGGCACCAUGGCAGCAUGAGCUGCAGCUUGAGGUCGUGCCGAACGCUCAUGCCACAGGCGCUCGUGAUGCUGCAGGUCGAGGUCGCCUUCGACUAUGGCACAUGCGCCGAUGCGACGGACGUGUCCCCGUCCGAGCCCCGCAAGGAGAGGUCGCUGUCACUGUCGAACGCCACCCACGAUGAUUCUGACGACCACGGCUAGGAGGAGGGACGGGACGCGGCACUGGGCCGCGACCCGGGGAUAAGCCAGUGGUGGCGGCGACAUCGCCGGGGGCGGGGGUGACUGAGGCUGCGGGUGGUCACCAGGUGGCCACAGAGUGGGGACAGGCGGUCUUAGGGAGAGGCGACAGGUUUUACUCGGCCGCCUUCAGGAGUAAUUUUAGUGGUUGGAUAGGCGGACGAGUAAAAUUUAGCCUCACAUAUACUAUAAGUUUUAGUACUUCGGCUAGGUGCGACAUAAACGAGGAAAACCGAAUUUAUCCUUCCUUAGACUGGCCAUAAUGGGUAGUAACAUAUACAUGUUACUAGUCUAUGUUACCAUCUUUAUAAUGGGGAGUAACAUAUGUGUGGUAACAUGCAACACUUCAUUUAUUAGGCUAUAAACUCAUUUUGCCUUGAUAUGUGUGAUGUUACUCAUACUACUAGUAACUAGCUAUGUUACCACUUUACUCAAUUUCUUCAUUUAUUGUUUACCACAUCAUCUAUUUUAUCUAGAUAUGUGUGAUGUUACUAUCUAUGUUACUCCCACUAUGGGUAGUCUUAUAGUCCGAUAGGGAAUCUUGAUUUUAAAGGGGCCUUUGAUUUUUAAACUUGAUUUCAGCACGUCCAAAGACCGGUGUGGGUAUUAGGGACACAACCCCUUUUGAUGGCCGCUUCUAAUGCCCUUUUUCUACUAGUGAAUAUUGGUUUUGUGCAUCUAUUUGUGACGAUUGCUUUGCUCAUGGUGUCCUUCGAUGAAGUCGGGGUCGCCGGUCGCCUGCGUGCAGCUAUGAAGUUAUUCGUGCAAUAUUUUUUCUUAAUUAAUGAAAAUAACAAGUCUUUUACUACCCCACUGUACAAAAAAUAUAAAAAUGUUUAGAUCAGUACUUUAGUUAUGUAAACACGCACAUAUUUCUUUUACGGAGACCGUUUAACAAAUCAACUAGCAUUAUGUCGAGGAACGAUGCCUGCCAAACAGGGGUUUUGCACCGAGCCGCCGGUGGAAUUGGCCUGAUCGAUUGCCGACGCGGCUAGCCGAGCUAGCUAGAUAGGCCAAAAACAGGGAGCGCCCACACAGACAGAAAUGGAACGCACGCUAACUGACACUGCACUCACGCAUAUGCUCCUACCUAUUCCCUCCGUUCGGAAUUACUUGUCGUAAAAAUGGAUGUAUCUAGACUUAUUUUAGUUCAUCCCGCCGGAGCACCCUGCUCUGCCCAUCUCAUCUCAUCUCACUCACACUGCUUACUUGACUUCACUACCUAGCUCACUUCCUCCGGUUCUCGUGCCACCAAGCUUUCUUCCACGGCAACGGCCACGGCCACGAAGAUGUCUACGGUGACCCGUGCCCACCUCGACCAGAGGCUCGCCGCCGCCAAGCGCUGCUCCAGAGGUACUAACCAAAACGGUGGCAGGCCAGCAAUGCCCGUGUCGUUCUGCUGUUAAACAUUGCAGCCUAUGCGCUGAAACUUGAUCGCCAUUGACAUGCCUGUGUUGCUUCGGAACUGCAGAGGCUGCCAUGGCAGGAGCCAAGGCCGCGGCCGUCGCCACCGUCGCAGCCGCAGUCCCCACAGUAAGUAGCCAGUUAGCCAUUCAGUUAUUCGGCCAAAUCCUUGCACGGUUCAUAGCAUGUCUCAUGCAUGCGUUACCUGUAACUUGAGCUGGCGAGCGCGAAGAUGCGAAGAUGCUGCCGUGGGCCAAGGCACACCUGAACCCAACCGGGCAGGCCCUCAUCAUCUCCACCGUCGCCGACAAGACCAUCCUCUCCAUGGCCAGGAAGCACUCCUUCGAGGACGCGCCGGACCACCUCAAGAACACCUCCUUCCACUAAUUACACAGUAGAUCCAUUAAUAGUGCGCAACAGGCUGCACGUCGGCCCGUACGGUCGUACGUGUUUGCUGAAUGAUACAGUAGUAUAAUGUUCAGCGAGAGAGGCGAGGCGAUGCAGAUCAGGCGUCGCGCUUCUAUCCGUGCAAGCACUUAUCUGACGAAUUUACCAUGUAAUCUAGCCAGUACUCUUGAAUAAAUGAAUACUUGUAUUUGUACAACUCUGAUCCAUCUGCCAUCACUCAUCUUACAUGUGGCAGAGCAUAAAAAAGAAAUCUCCACCGCCGGCCCCUAAAACGUACACAAUAUCCGUUUGCGAGCCGGUCAUCCAACGCUAAUCCAACAAGCGUCCAGACACAUUUCAAAUAGACCUUAAACAAUCUAGAUAAAAUUCAUACAAACCGAACGAUUUUCAUUCAAACCGGGACAAGUUCAUUGCAUUUUAGAUAUAUUUCAACUAAACAAAAGUGGGCGACACUUUUUAACCCAGUCUAAAUAUUCGUCGGUCGUGGAGGCCUUCAUGUUCUGCAUCAUGUCUUUACCAUGUCUGGCAAGUUCAGUGGUCGCAAGCUUUUGUGAAGUGAAGUUGCCGGUGAGGAAGAAUCUGACUUGGGACAUGACUCACAUGGGACACAGGACUUGCCCACAUCCGUGUCCCACGUCCUACUCUUCCCGGCUAGAGUCUGUGAUGUGGACGUUGCCGGACAUGGAUGGAUCGGCCUCAUGGCCAAUGCGGUUGGGCACGAAAUGUGAUAGCGCCGCGAUCAAUGCGGAACUGGCGACGUCCGUGAUGUUUGUGCCCACUCUUCAUCCACCUUCACCUGCAAGACGCACUGCCGCCAUCGCUCGCGAGGGAUGUCGUGAACUGCGGCCAACGACCAUAAGGCUGGUCCAUCCGGCAUUUCCGACACGAAGGUUGUCUCAUCUCCAACGACAAGUAGAACUAGGAUAGUUUGAUCUAUGUUUGAUAUAGUACGUGGUUUAAUUUUACGUUCCAUGAUGUAGUAUCAAAAAAGUAGAGGGUGAGAUUUGGGGUUUGUGGUUGCAGCGAGAGAUAAAUGAAGGGUGACCGGGCUCGGUCUACGGAUGCGUCCGGAAACAUCUGCGAACAUGUGGGGUCACUUUUGAAAUAUGCAGCUGUAGAUGUUGUAACAUUACCAAGAUUUCAAGGAAUUGAAAAUCGGGAUGAUCGGUUUCCUACCUCUUCAUCUUUUUUUAUCGAUAAUUGUAGACGCACGGGGUUUUACGGCCCGUGACAGGCUCUUUNNNNNNNNNNNNNNNNNNNNNNNNNNNNNNNNNNNNNNNNNNNNNNNNNNNNNNNNNNNNNNNNNNNNNNNNNNNNNNNNNNNNNNNNNNNNNNNNNNNNNNNNNNNNNNNNNNNNNNNNNNNNNNNNNNNNNNNNNNNNNNNNNNNNNNNNNNNNNNNNNNNNNNNNNNNNNNNNNNNNNNNNNNNNNNNNNNNNNNNNNNNNNNNNNNNNNNNNNNNNNNNNNNNNNNNNNAGUGGGGGUGGGGCCCUGACCUUAAUCUCCAUCCAAACAGAAGAUCCCAACUAGGACACUCCGUGAAUCCCUGUAAAACAUAGCCCGUGUGUGUAGCAUUGCUCUUUUUUUAUAGGAAAGGCUGAAAUAAAUCCAGGAUCAAGUCUAGAAUUUGAAUCUUGGUGGGCUGGGAUACCACCGUCCUUCUAACCAUCGAACCACAGGUUCGUUCGCUUCUGCCUCUUCAUCUUAACGAUACACACAUUCAUACUUAUAUUUAUUUAUUAUAAACAAUUGUGAGUAGGAGUAAUAAAACUCAGUACAAAUCAAUGAGUGGAGGGAGAAAAAAAUGCCACAAUCGGUGUAGGCAAACAUGCCUACACAAAAAGCAUAAUAUUGGAUCAUCUAUCCUACGUGAAAUGUUAUGUUAUUUUUAAACAGAGGUAAAAGAUUUUCCUCAUCUAUUAAGUAACAAAAUAAUGACAGGAGGGACGUUUUGCCUUUUUUUUAUGUGUGAAGAUUGAUGUUGGUUAUGUGCAUCUUAACUAUGCAGAGGCCAGAUAUAUGUUUAUUUUGACUGUAUUCAGUUGAUGCUUCAUUUUAUUAAAUAAUAAAAUCCAUUCUUAAUGAAAAAAGCAUGGUGGCGGGGCUGACCCCGCCAAACAAAGGAUCAGGCGCUCGCGGAAUUGGAUCGCCGACGGGUUGGCGGUAAACUGGGAGCGCCCACACCACACACAUCGCCAACAACCUGAAGGGCACGCUGACAGAUACUGCUCUCACGCACAUGCUCCUACCUACGUGUUAUCCUACCUAGUACGUGUUAUCCUACGCAGGAACACGCUCCCCGCCAACCCGAUGGAUCGAUCCAUGCCUCGUCUUAUCCAGAAAACAGAGUCCGCCACCUGUGCUCUGCCGCACCUGCACCGCCCACCGGUACCAUUACCGAAACCACGGUCUUGCCUGCUUCCCACCGUAUCAGGUCGUCUUCCUGCCCGGCCGCACGCCGGUUGGGCGGUUUCCUGCAACCUAUAAAUUCCGCCGGAGCACCUCGCUCUGCCCAUCUCAUUCUCAUAUCACUUCACUGCUACUACUAAUUCACUUCCUUCGGAUCCCGCUCGUGCCACCAAGCUCUGCUCCCGCUAAGAUGUCGACGGUGACCCGUGCCAACCUCGACCAGAGGCUCGCCGCCGCCAACCGCUGCUCCAGAGGUAACCACCGACGACCGGUUCCGGCCACAGCCCAGCACUGCUCUGCUCCUAUAUCCCAACCAUCCAUUGCAGCUUAUGUGUCUGCUGAAACUUGAUCUUGAUUAACAUUCCUGCGUUGGUCUGAAACUGCAGAGGCUGCCAUGGCGGGAGCCAAGGCCGCGGCCGUCGCCACCGUCGCUGCCGCAGUACCCACAGUAAGUAGCCAGCUAGCCAUUCAGUUCCAGAGUUCAUAGAACACAUCUCAUGAAUCAACGCGUUACCUGUACUGUAAUUUCAGCUGGCGAGCGUGAGGAUGCUGCCGUGGGCGAGGGCGCACCUCAACCCCACCGGGCAGGCGCUCAUCAUCUCCACGGUCGCCGGGAUGGCCUACUUCAUCGUCGCCGACAAGACCAUCCUCUCCAUGGCCAGGAGGCACUCCUUCGACGACGCGCCAGAGCACCUCAAGAACACCUCCUUCCACUAAUUAGACUAUAAUAGUAGACACAUAUAAUGUUCUAUAAUGGUACUAUAAUGUUCAGCGAGAGGGGCGGUCAGGCGAGGUGAUGGUAUAAUUAUCUGAUGAUGUAUGUAUGUAAUAAUGUGGCCAUGUUCUUUCCAGGGAUCUUGUCAUCUUUCCAGGGAUCGUGAAUUAAUAACCACCAGUUUUUGUACAACUUUAGUUCAAGUGCACUCACUCAUCUCACUUAUUUCUUGUUUGUGAUUGCCAUUUGAUAUGCGUCAAGACCGAGUAACACUAGUACUAGUAGUAGACUACUACUUCAUUCAUUGGAUCCCCUACUACUCUCCUCUCUUCUAUCCCGAAAUGCACGUGGGGAUCAUGCCACCUGACCUCACACUAUAAAUCUUUUGAGGGAGAUGAUUGGUUUAUGCCGGCGGAUCUCAUGCGAGGCGUCCCUCACCUCUUUCUUGUGACACGUGUCUUGGGUCCAUCUAGUACUAUUUCUAGCGGUUCCGUGCGAUCAUGUGCGUGUGGCGGAGAAAGUUCUCUGCAAUAUCAUUUGUGUUGGGAUAUAACUAUUGGGUAUGACCAGAGGGGCCCGGUCAUACCGCUGGCGACUUAAUGAUAAAGAUGGCGGGUUAUGAAGCAAGCCCGUUGAAGGCCUAAGACCCAGAGGCGACUUGAGGCCCAAGAGGAUAAACCGCCAUAUGUGUAACUUGUAUUGUAAGGCAAGUUUAGUUAGUCACCGAGCCGGACACGUUGUGUAUGAGCCGGCCGGGACUCUGUAAGCCGCCGGGCAUCAACCUGUGCAUAUAAAGGGGUGACCCGGCGGCGGGUGAAGGCAAGAAACCAGAGAUCGAGAACUAGGUCAAGCGUAUUUGCUCCCUGGUAAUCGAAACCCAAGCAAUACAACCCCAAACUGGAGUAAGCCUUUACCUCGUUGCGAGGGGCCGAACCAGUAUAAACUCUCUGUGUCCUUUGUCCCGAUUAACCCCUUCAAGCUAAACUAACUGCGAUGGCUCCACACCUAAGUCCUUUCACUAGGGCAUCUGCCGUGUUAAGUCGACGACAAUUUGUGUUGCAAACUUUCUUCCGCAAUAACUCUCAUGUUGCAAAAAAAGUGAAAACAGAAAGAAAAAAAAUCUGCAACAUUACCGGCGGAAGUUGCCCAUGUCCGACCAUGCCGCCGCACGCCGACAAGUUUCUACAACAACAACAAAGUUACAAAACGGCGACCACAACGAGGGCGGUGCUGCUGCGACAACAUCUUUCAUUGCGAAAAAGUUCUGCAACAACAUCCAUGUUGCAGAAGUCCUUUUCGCAACAUUAUCUAUGUUGCAAAAAAGUGAAGAGAAAAAAACACACAACAUAAGCUCCGUUGCAAAUGGUUUUGAAACACUCCAUUUGUUGCAAUGAAUUGUGCCAGAUCUACGGUUGCGGAGGCGGAAAGAUCCGCCGACCGACGCGCAGCACGGUCCAUCUUUUGAUACGGUUUAUAGGAUGCCCUGGUAAAUAAGGAUAGAAAAUUUAGCAGUUCUGUAACAAGCUUUCCAUGGAUAGCCCCACCCUCCCACGCCGCCCCCCGCAAGGCGACGGGGAGGAACCUACUGCGCCGCCGCCAACUACCUUCUCCGCCCCUCCUCCCUCCCUCGCUGCCGCCAGAGGGCGCAGCCGGCCGAAGCCGCCGGCAAGGCCUCGUCGUUCCCCCUUCCAGCGGCCUUGGUGUCGGCCGACGCGGCUGGAUCGGGGUGCCUCGCUGUCCCAGGGCAAGGCUGUGUUGCGGCGCAGCUGCCUUGUGAUGGCGCUGCGCGCGGUGGUGGCGCGACGGGCUGGGCUUCGUAGGCCGUGCUGGUGCGUGGAGCGGCGGGGACGGCGAGCGGCUGGUGCGGGUGUUCAUGGCGGCGGGCGGAUCUAGCGUGGCGGCGGUCGCGGCGAGGCAAGGCGUCAGUGGCGGGGUCCGGUGUGGCCUGGGCUAGCUCCUGGCUUGGCGCAGUGGUCCCUGCCCUAGCUUCGGGCUGGUGGGGGUGGUGGCGCAGUGGUGGUGGCAGGCGGGGCAUGUUGGUCGAGUCCGCGUCGGGACCUUCCUGGUAUGGCGCUCUGACGUUGGCGGACGACGCGAGUAGGCAUCUCCGGUGAGCUUCCUUGGUUGCGGUUGCAGGUCAAUUUGGUCUCACUGUCGGCGAGCGCGCGGUUGCCGAUGGCCUCGCAAAGAUGUGUGUUGUUGGGGAACGUAGUAAUUUCAAAAAAUUUCCUACGCAAACGCAAGAUCAUGGUGAUGCAUAGCAACGAGAGGGGAGAGUGUCAUCCACUUACCCUCGUAGACCGUUAAGCGGAAGCGUUAUGACAACGUGGUUGAUGUAGUCGUACGUCUUUACGAUCGACCGAUCCUCAGUACCGAACGUACGGCACCUCCGCAUUCAGCACGCGUUCUGCUCGGUGACGUCAUGCGAACUCACGAUCCAGUAGAGCUCGAAGGAGAGUUUCGUCAGCACGACGGCGUGGUGACGAUGUUGAUGAAGCUACCGUCGCCUGGAUUAUGGUGGAUUAUGGUGGAGGGGGGCACCGCACACAGCUGGGAGAGAUCAAUGAUCAACUUGUGUGUUCUAGGGUGCCCCCUGCCCCCGUAUAUAAAGUAGAAAGGGGGGAGGCCGGCCGGCCCCUAUAGGGCGCGCCAGGAGGAGGAGUCCUCCUCCUAGUAGGAGUAGGACUCCCCUCUUUCCUACUCCUACUAGGAGGGGGAAAGGAAGGGGGAGAAGGAGAAGGAAAGGGGGGCGCGCCCCCCCUUCCUAGUCCAAUUCGGACUAGAGGGGGAGGGGGCGCCGCACACCGCUGGAAGAGAUCAAUGAUCAACUUGUGUGUUCUAGGGUGCCCCUGCCCCCGUAUAUAAAGGAGCAAGGGGGGAGGUCGGCCUUUGACUAUUGACAAGAUUAAUAGUACAUGACAUGCACAAUGCGAAAAUUGUAUCAUUGAAAGCUCCUUUCACACACGAAUUUAACGGUGUGCCUUGUGUAAGUUGCAUGUCAUAUAUUAUUGCUCUAAUAAUUGGUCAAAGUUAGCCUCGAAAAACGCAUUAGGCCCUAUAUAGAUGGAAGGAGGGAGUAUGUGCUUUGUGAAAGUCCAAUUAAGCGUCUUGAUCUAUCUCGAUAGAUCUUGAUGCCCAAUAUGUAAGCAGCUUCACCAAGGUCUUUCAUUGAAAAACUCUUAUUCAAAUAUCCUUUUAUGCUAUCCAGAAAUUCUAUAUCAUUUCCAGUUAGCAAUAUGUCAUCCACAUAUAAUAUUAGAAAUGCUACAGAGCUACCACUCACUUUCUUGUAAAUACAGGCUUCUACAAAAGUCUGUAUAAAACCAUAUGCUUUGAUCACACUAUCAAAACGUUUAUUCCAACUCCGAGAGGCUUGCACCAAUCCAUAAAUGGAUCGCUGGAGCUUGCACACUUUGUUAGCUCCCUUUGGAUCAACAAAACCUUCCGGUUGCAUCAUAUACAACUCUUCUUCUAGAAAUCCAGUCAGAAAUGCAGUUUUGACAUCCAUUUGCCAAAUUUCAUAAUCAUAAAAUGUGGCAAUUGCUAACAUAAUUCGGACAGACUUAAGCAUCGCUACGGGUGAGAAAGUCUCAUCGUAGUCAACUCCUUGAACUUGUCGAAAACCUUUAGCAACAAGUCGAGCUUUGUAGACAGUAAAAUUACCGUCAGCGUCAGUCUUCUUCUUGAAGAUCCAUUUAUUCUCUAUGGCUUGCCGAUCAUCGGGCAAGUCAACCAAAGUCCACACUUUGUUCUCAUACAUGGAUCCCAUCUCAGAUUUCAUGGCCUCAAGCCAUUUUGCGGAAUCUGGGCUCACCAUCGCUUCUUCAUAGUCCGUAGGUUUUGGUCAAGUAACAUGACCUCCAGAAUAGGAUUACCGUACCACUCUGGUGCGGAUCUUACUCUUGUUGACCUACGAGGUUCGGUAGUAACUUGAUCUGAAGUUUCAUGAUCAAUAUCAUUAGCUUCUUCACUGAUUGGUGUAGGUGUCACAAAAACCGGUUUCUGUGAUGAACUACUUUCCAAUAAGGGAGCAGGUACAGUUACCUCAUCAAGUUCUACUUUCCUCCCACUCACUUCUUUCGAGAGAAACUCCUUCUCUAGAAAGGAUCAAUUCUUAGCAACAAAUAUCUUGCCUUCGGAUCUGUGAUAGAAGGUGUACCCAACAGUUUCCUUUGGGUAUCCUAUGAAGACACAUUUCUCCGAUUUGGGUUCGAGCUUAUCAGGUUGAAGCUAUUUCACAUAAGCAUCGCAACCCCAAACUUUAAGAAACGACAACUUUGGUUUCUUGCCAAACCACAGAUCAUAAGGCAUCGUCUCAACGGAUUUUGAUGGUGCCCUAUUUAACGUGAAUGCAGUCGUCUCUAAAGCAUAACCCCAAAACGAUAGCGGAAAAUCAGUAAGAGACAUCACAGAUCGCACCAUAUCCAGUAAAGUACGAUUACGACGUUCGGACACACCAUUUCGCUGUGGUAUUCCGGGUGGCGUGAGUUGCGAAACUAUUCCGCAUUGUUUCAAAUGUAGACCAAACUCGUAACUCAAAUAUUCUCCUCCACGGUCAGAUCGUAGAAACUUUAUUUUCUUGUUACGAUGAUUUUCCACUUCACUCUGAAAUUCUUUGAACUUUUCAAAUGUUUCAGACUUAUGUUUCGUUAAGUAGAUAUACCCAUAUCUGCUCAAAGCAUAUGUGAAGGUGAGAAAAUAACGAUACCCGCCGCGAGCCUCAAUAUUCAUUGGACCACAUACAUCAGUAUGUAUGAUCUCCAACAAAUCAGUUGCUCGCUCCAUUGUUCCGGAGAACGGCGUUUUAGUCAUCUUGCCCAUGAGGCAUGGUUCGCAAGUACCAAGUGAUUCAUAAUCAAGUGAUUCCAAAAGUCCACUAGGAUGGAGUUUCUUCAUGCUCUUUACACCAAUAUGACCUAAACGGCAGUGCCACAAAUAAGUUGCACUAUCAUUAUCAACUCUGCAUCUUUUGGCUUCAAUAUUAUGAAUAUGUGUAUCACUACUAUCGAGAUUUAAUAAAAAUAGACCACUCUUCAAGGGUGCAUGACCAUAAAAGAUAUUACUCAUAUAAAUAGAACAACCAUUAUUCUCUGAUUUAAAUGAAUAACCGUCUCGCAUCAAACAAGAUCCUGAUAUAAUGUUCAUGCUUAACGCUGGCACCAAAUAACAAUUAUUCAGGUCUAAAACUAAUCCCGAAGGUAGAUGUAGAGGUAAUGUGCCGACCGCGAUCACAUCGACUUUGGAACCAUUUCCCACGCGCAUCGUCACCUCGUCCUUAGCCAAUCUUCGCUUAAUCCGUAGUCCCUAUUUCGAGUUGCAAAUAUUAGCAACAUAACCAGUAUCAAAUACCUAGGUGCUACUGCAAGCAUUAGUAAGGUACACAUCAAUAACAUGUAUAUCACAUAUACCUUUGUUCACCUUGCCAUCCUUCUUAUCCGCCAAAUACUUGGGGCAGUUCCGCUCCCAGUGACCAGUCUGUUUGCAGUAGAAGCACUCAGUCUCAGGCUUAGGUCCAGACUUGGGUUUCUUCUCCCGAGCAGCAACUUGUUUUCUGUUCUUCUUGAAGUUGCCCUUCUUCUUCCCUUUACCAUUUUUCUUGAAACUGGUGGUCUUGUUGACCAUCAACACUUGAUGCUCCUUCUUGAUUUCUACCUCCGCAGCCUUUAGCAUUGCGAAGAGCUCGGGAAUUGUCUUAUCCAUCCCUUGCAAAUUAUAGUUCAUCACAAAGCUCUUGUAGCUUGGUGGCAGUGAUUGAAGAAUUCUGUCAAUGACACUAUCAUACAGAAGAUUAACUCCCAGUUGAAUCAAGUGAUUGCAGUACCCAGACAUUCUGAGUAUAUGCUCACUGACAGAACUAUUCUCCUCCAUCUUGCAGCUGUAGAACUUAUUGAGACUUCAUAUCUCUCAAUCCGGGCAUUUGCUUGAAAUAUUAACUUCAACUCCUGGAACAUCUAAUAUGCUCCAUGACGUUCAAAACGUCGUUGAAGUCCCGGUUCUAAGCCGUAAAGCAUGGCACACUAAACUAUCGAGUAGUCAUCAACACGCGACUGCCAGGCAUUCACAAUGUCUGCAGCUGCCGGCGUAGGUGGUACACCUAGCGGUGCUUCCAGGACGUAAUUCUUCUGUGCAGCAAUGAGGAUAAUCCUCAAGUUACGGACCCAGUCCGUGUAAUUUCUACCAUCAUCUUUCAACUUUGCUUUCUCAAGGAACGCAUUAAAAUUCAACGGAACAACAACACGGGCCAUCUAUCUACAACAACAUAGACAAGCAAAAUACUAUCAGGUACUAAGUUCAUGGUAAAUUAAAGUUCAAUUAAUCAUAUUACUUAAGAACUCCCACUUAGAUAGACAUCCCUCGAAUCAUCUAAGUGAUCACGUGAUCCAUCUCAACUAAACCAUGUCCGAUCAUCACGUGAGAUGGAGUAGUUUUCAAUGGUGAACAUCACUAUGUUGAUCAUAUCUACUAUAUGAUUCACGCUCGACCUUUCGGUCUCAGUGUUCCGAGGACAUAUCUACAUAUGCUACGCUCGUCAAGUUUAACCCGGGUAUUCUGUGUGUGCAAAACUGGCUUACACCCGUUGUAUUUGAACGUAGAGCUUAUCACACCCGAUCAUCACGUGGUGUCUCGGUACGCGAACUUUCGCAACGGUGCAUACUCAGGGAGAACACUUAUACCUUGAAAUUUAGUGAGAGAUCAUCUUAUAAUGCUACCAUCAACCAAAGCAGAAUAAGAUGCAUAAAGGAUAAACAUCAUAUGCAAUCAAUAUAAGUGAUAUGAUAUGGCCAUCAUCAUCUUGUGCCUUUGAUCUCCAUCUCCAAAGCACCCGUCAUGACCACCAUCGUCACCGGCGCGACACCUUGAUCUUCAUCGUAGCAUCGUUGUCGUCUCGCCAACUAUUGCUUCUACGACUAUCGCUACCGCUUAGUGAUAAAGUAAAGCAAUUACAGGGCGAUUGCAUUGCAUACAAUAAAGCGACAACCAUAUGGCUCCUGCUAGUUGCCGAUAACUCCGUUACAAAACGUGAUCAUCUCAUACAAUAAAAUAUAGCAUCAUGUCUUGACCAUAUCACAUCACAACAUGCCCUGCAAAAACAAGUUAGACGUCCUCUACUUUGUUGUUGUAAGUUUUACGUGGCUGCUACGGGCUGAGCAAGAACCGUUCUUACCUACGCAUCAAAGCCACAACGAUAGUUCGUCAAGUUAGUGCUGUUUUAACCUUCUCAAGGACCGGGCGUAGCCACACUUGGUUCAACUAAAGUUGGAGAAACUGACACCCGCCAGCCACCUGUGUGCAAAGCACGUCGGUAGAACCAGUCUCGCGUAAGCGUACGCAUAAUGUCGGUCCGGGCCGCUUCAUCCAACAAUACCGCCGAACCAAAGUAUGACAUGCUGGUAAGCAGUAUGACUUAUAUCGCCCACAACUCACUUGUGUUCUACUCGUGCAUAUAACAUCUACGCAUAAACCAGGCUCUGAUGCCACUGUUGGGGAACAUAGUAAUUUCAAAAAAAUUCAUACGCACACGCAAGAUCAUGGUGAUGCAUAGCAACGAGAGGGGAGAGUGUCGUCCACGUACCCUCGUAGACCGUUAAGCGGAAGCGUUAUGACAACGCGGUUGAUGUAGUCGUAAGUCUUUACGAUCGACCGAUCCUCAGUACCGAACGUACGACACCUUCGCGUUCAUCACACGUUCAGCUCGGUGACGUCCCGUGAACUCACGAUCCAGUAGAGCUCGAGGGAGAGUUUCGUCAGCACGACGGCGUGGUGACGAUGGUGAUGAAGCUACCGUCGCAGGGCUUCGCCUAAGCACUGCUACGAUAUGACCGAGGUGGAUUAUGGUGGAGGGGGGCACCGCACACGGCUGGGAGAGAUCUAUGAUCAACUUGUGUGUUCUAGGGUGCCUCGUGCCCCCGUAUAUAAAGGAGUAAGGGGCAGGCCAGCCGGCCCCUGUAGGGCACGCCAGGAGGAGGAGUCCUCCUCCUAGUAGGAGUAGGACUCCCCUCUUUCCUACUCCUACUAGGAGGGGGAAAGGAAGGGGGAGAAGGAGAAGGAAAGGGGGCGCCGCCCCCCUUCCUAGUCCAACCCAGAGGGGGAGGGGGCGCGCGGCCUGCCCUGGCCAGCCCCUCUCUCUCCACUAGUGCCCAACUAGGCCCAUUAACCCCCGGGGGGUUCCGGUAACCCCUCCGGCACUCCGGUAAAAUUCCGAUUUCACACGGAACUCUUCUGAUGUCCAAAUAUAGGCUUCCAAUAUAUCAAUAUUUAUGUCUCGACCAUUUCGAGACUCCCCGUCAUGUCCGUGAUCAUACCCGGGACUCCGAACUAUCUUCGGUACAUCAAAACAUAUAAACUCAUAAUACCGAUCGUCACAGAACUUUAAGCGUGCGUACCCUACAGGUUCGAGAACUAUGUAGACAUGACCGAGACACGUCUUCGGUCAAUAACCAAUAGCGGAACCUGGAUGCUCAUAUUGGUUCCUACAUAUUCUACGAAGAUCUUUAUCGGUCAAACCGCAUAACAACAUACGUUGUUCCCUUUGUCAUCGGUAUGUUACUUGCCCGAGAUUCGAUCGUCGGUAUCUCAAUACCUAGCUCAAUCUCGUUACCGGCAAGUCUCUUUACUCGUUCCGUAAUGCAUCAUCCCGUAACUAACUCAUUAGUCACAUUGCUUGCAAGGCUUAUAGUGAUGUGCAUUACCGAGAGGGCCCGGAGAUACCUCUCCGACAACCGGAGUGACAAAUUCUAAUCUCGAUCUAUGCCAACUCAACAAGUACCAUCGGAGACACCUGUAGAGCACCUUUAUAAUCACCCAUUUACGUUGUGACGUUUGGUAGCACACAAAGUGUUCCUCUGGUAAUCGGGAGUUGCAUAAUCUCAUAGUCAUAGGAACAUGUAUAAGUCAUGAAGAAAGCAAUAGCAGUAAACUAAACGAUCAAGUGCUAAGCUAACGGAAUGGGUCAAGUCAAUCACAUCAUUAUCCUAAUGAUGUGAUCCCGUUAAUCAAAUGACAACUCAUGUCGAUGGCUAGGAAACUCAACAAUCUUUGAUCAACGAGCUAGUCAAGUAGAGGCAUACUAGUGACACUAUGUUUGUCUAUGUAUUCACACAUGUAUUAUGUUUCCGGUUAAUACAAUUCUAGCAUGAAUAAUAAAGAUUUAUCAUGAUAUGAGGAAAUAAAUAAUAACUUUAUUAUUGCCUCUAGGGCUCCUCCUUCCCCCCUUUCGUCGUGUUUGGCAGGGAGCUCAGUUGGAGGGAUGGGUGGCCUCGAUGCGGUCACGUAACCUGUCACCAGCACGGCGUGCCGGUCCGGAUUCGUCCGCUCCGCUUUCUCCCCCUUUCCUCGGCCUGGGGCGGGUUGGCACAGGUUUACCAACGGAGCAUCUGCGGGUGGUUCUGUCAGUCGAGGGACGUCGGUUGGUCCAAAGCUAGGGCCUUUGUGUACGUCUCGGGGUUGUUUGGUUGCAGGGCGGCGGGAAGCAUGACGUUCGUGGGCGAAGCGUGCGUCUUAUGUGCGGGUGGGAAACUAUGGCCGUGUGGGUGGCGUGGUUGCGGGUGGUUGACGGAGAUAAGGUGCACUGGUGGGGUGUGAGCACCGGGGUACACCACUUGUUCAGUCCUUUGACUACCCGACGGUGGUGGUGGCCGUUGCCGUCAUACCGUCCUGAAGGCUCCGUGGCGGCGUUCCCACUCUGGUCAUCUUGCUCCGGGUGAAACCCGAUCUUCGCUAAUCGGGCGGUGGCGGCUAUCCAUGGUCGUAUCCUUCUUGGAGGCACCGCUUUGGAGGCCUGGCUUCAUUGUGGUCCGGUUCACCUCUUUAUUGUCUGUCGGUGGGGUGGUGUAUUGGUGCCUGGCACCUUUGUAUCUUGCUCUGGGUGUGUGCGAUAUGUGCGUUGUUCGGUAUCUCGAAUGUAUUUGGUGAUGGUUGCUUUAUAUAAUAUAAAGUGGGGAAACCCUUUUUCGGUAAACAAGCUUUCCAUACUAGUGGAGCUCCCCUGGUUAGGUUGGAGGUGUUUCUUGAGACCAGAGACACCUUGACACUUUUCUUGGUCGCGAGUUAUAGAAGUGCAUGAUCUACCUAAUAUGUCCAUUUUGCAUCAUGCUUUUAUAUUGAUAUUUAUUGCAUUAUGGGUUGUUAUUACCUAUUUUGGUACAAUACUUAUGCCUUUUUCUCUCUUAUUUUACAAGGUUUACAUGAAGAGGGAGAAUGCCGGCAGCUGGAAUUCUAGGCUGGAAAAGGAGCAAAUAUUAGAGACCUAUUCUGCACAACUCCAAAAGUCCUGGAAAUUUACGCAGAGUCAUUUUGGAAUUAAUAAAAAAUAUUGGGCGAAGUAAGCACCAGAGGGGGGCCACCAGCCAUCCACAAGGGUGGGGGCGCGCCCUAUCCCCCUGGGCGCGCCCCCCUUCCUUCAAACAAACCUUCUGACCAGGAAAAGGCAUACCAAAGAUUUUCGGAAAGACACGUUGAAAUGGAAGCUCUCGAACCUAUUCCGAAGUAAGUGUGGGCCCCCUGGCAGGCCUCCGGUGUCCAUCUUAUGCUAUAUGGUGUGUUUUGACCUAGAAAAAACCAGAAGGAACUUUCGGGACGAAGCGCCGGCGUCUCGAGAUGAAACUUGGGCAAAAUCAAUCUAGGGCUUCGGCGGAGCAAUUCUGCCGGGGAAACUUCCCUCCGGGAGUGGGAAAUCGAAGCCAUCGUCAUCACAAAUGAUCCUCUCAUCGAGAGGGGGUUAAUCUCCAUCCAGAUCUUCACCAGCACCAUCUCCUCUAAAACUCUAGUUCAUCUCUUGUAUCCGAUCUUUGUCUCAAAACCUCAGAUUGGUACCUGUGGGUUGGUAGUAGUGUUGAUUACUCCUUGUAGUUGAUGCUAAUUGGUUUAUUUGGUGGAAGUUCAUUUGUUCAGAUCCUUAAUGAUAAUUUAUACUCCUCUGAUUUUGAACAUGAAUAUGUUGUGUGAGUAGUUUCGUUUGUUCCUGAGGACAUGGGAGAAGUCUUGUUAUGAGUAAUCAUGUGAAUUUGGUAUUCGUUCGAUAUUUUGAUGAGAUGUAUGUUGUCUUUCCUCUAGUGGUGUUAUGUGAGCGUCGACUACAUGACACUUCACCAUGAUUUGGGCCUAGGGGAAGGCAUUGGGAAGUAAUAAGAAGAUGAUGGGUUGCUAGAGUGACAGAAGCUUAAACCCUAAUUUAUGUGUUGCUUCGUAAGGGGCUGAUUUGGAUCCAUAUGUUUCAUGGUAUAGUUAGAGUUAUCCAUUCUUCGUUCGUAGUUGCGGAUGCUUGCGAGAGGUGUUAAUCAUAAGUGGGAGGCUUGUCCAAGGAAGGCCAGCACCCGACCACCGAUCCACCCACAUAUCAAAUUAUCAAAGUAACGAACGCGAAUCAUAUGAGCAUGCUGAAAACUAGCUUGACAAUAAUUCUCAUGUGUCCUCGGGAGCGCUUUGCUUUAUAUAAGAGUUCGUCCAGGCUUUUCCUUUGCUACAAAAAGGAUUGGGCCACCUUUUUGCACCUUAGUUACUUUUGUUACUUGUUACCCGUUACGAAUUAUCCUAUCACAAAAUUAUCUGUUACAGAUAAUUUCAGUGCUUGCAGAGAAUACCUUGCUGAAAACCGCUUGUCAUUUCCUUCUGCUCCUCGUUGGGUUCGACACUCCUACUUAUCGAAAGGACUACAAUAGAUCCCCUGUACUUUCGGGUCAUCAAGACUCUUUUCUGGCGCCGUUGCCGGGGAGUGAAGCGCCUUUGCCGAGUGGAAUUUGGUAAGGAAACAUUUAUAUUACAUGCUGAAAUUUACUGUCACUUGUCACUAUGAAAAAUAAUCCUUUGAGGGAUUUGUAUGGGGUAUCUUCACCCCGACCGUAUGAGAAAAGAGUUGCCCCUCAACCUACUGAACCUACUGAAAAUGUUUAUUAUGAAAUUCCUUCGGAUAUGAUAGAGAAACUACUAGCUAAUCCUUUGGAGAUGGAACACUACAUCCUGAUAUGCAUCUAAUCUAUAUGGAUGAAGUUUGUGGAUCAUUUAAGCUUGCAGGUUUGCCCGAGGAUGAUGUGAAGAAGAAGGUCUUCCCUUUAUUUUUGAAGGGAAAAGCAUUGACAUGGUAUAGGCUAUGUGAUGAUAUUGGAUCAUGGAACUACAACCGAUUGAAAUUGGAAUUUCAUCAGAAGUUUUAUCCUAUGCAUCUGGUUCACCGUGACCGAAACUAUAUAUAUAUAUAUAUAUAUAUAUAUAUAUAUAUAUAUAUAUAUAUAUAUAUAUAUAAUUUUUGGCCUCGUGAAGGAGAGUGUAUCGCUCAAGCUUGGGGGAGGCUUAAGUCAAUGUUAUAUUCAUGCCCCAAUCAUGAGCUGUCAAUAGAGUUUAUUAUUCGGAAUUUUUAUGCUUGGCUCUCUUGUAAUGAUCAAUCCAUGCUCAAUACUUCUUGUACUGGUUCUUUUAUGAAGAAGACUAUUGAAUUCAAAUGGGAUUUAUUGGAAAGAAUUAAAUGCAACUCUGAAGAUUGGGAACUCGACGAAGGUAAUGAGUCAGGUAUAAACCUUAAGGUUGAUUGUGUUAAAUCUUUUAUGGAUACCGAUGCUUUUCGUGAAUUUAGCACUAAGUAUGGACUUGACUCUGAGAUAGUAGUUUCUUUCUGUGAAUCAUUUGGUACUCAUGUUGAUCUCCCUAAAGAGAAGUGGUUUAAAUAUCAUCCUCCCACUUAAGUAAAAGUAGUAGAACCUAUUAAAGUUGAAGAAGAAACUAUUAGUUAUAAUGUUGAUCAUGUUGUUCCUACUGCUUAUAUUGAGAAGCCACCUUUCCCUGUUAGAAUAAAGGAACAUGCUAAAGCUUCAACUAUGGUUCGUAAGAGUUAUACUAGAACACAUACACCCCCUGAACAAAUUAAAGUUGAACCUAGUAUUACUAUGGUUAAGGAUCUCUUGGUUGAUAAUAUUGAUGGGCAUGUUAUUUAUUUCUUCGAUGAAGCUGCUAGGAUUGCUAAACCCAAUACUAAAGAUAAACAUAGAACCGUUGUUGGCAUGUCUGUUGUUUCUGUUAAAAUAGGAGAUCAUUGUUAUCAUGGCUUAUGUGAUGUGGGUGCUAGUGUGAGUGCAAUUCCUUUUACCUUAUCAAGAAAUUAUGAAUGAUAUUGCAUUUGCUAAGAUAGAUGAUAUUGAUGUUACUAUUAAGCUUGCCAAUAGAGAUACUAUAUCACCAGUUGGGAGUGUUAGAGAUGUUGAAGUCUUGUGUGGGAAAAUAUAAUACCCUACUGAUUUUCUUAUUCUUGGUUCCCCACAAGAUGAUUUUUGUCCCAUUAUAUUUGGUAGACCUUUCUUGAAUACUGUUAAUGCUAAGAUAGAUUGUGAGAAAUAAAUUGUUACUGUAAGUUUUGGGGAUAUGUCUCAUGAAUUUAAUUUCUCCAAAUUUCGUAAACAACCCCAUGAUAAAGAAUUGCCUAGUAAGGAUGAAAUAAUUGGUCUUGCUUCUAUUGUCGUGCCUCCUAUUGACCCUUUAGAACAAUAUUUGCUAGAUCAUGAGAAUGAUAUGUUUAUGAAUGAAAGAAAGGAAUUAGAUGAAAUAUUCUUUAAUCAAGGGCCUAUUUUGAAACAUAAUUUGCCUGUUGAAAUCCUUGGAGAUCCUCCUCCACCCAAGGGUGAUCCCGUGUCUGAGCACAAACAAUUAACUGAUACUUUGAAAUAUGCUUAUCUUGAUGAAAAGAAGAUAUAUCAUGUUAUUAUUAGUGCUAACCUUUCAAAGCAUGAAGAAAAAAGAUUAUUGAAAACUCUAAAGAAGCUCUGUGCUGCUAUUGGAUAUACUCUUGAUGAUCUUAAGGGCAUUAGUCCCACUCUAUGUCAGCACAAAAUUAAUAUGGAGCCUGAUGCUAAACCAGUUGUUGGUCAUCAACGACGGUUAAAUCCCAAGAUGAAAGAAGUGGUAAGAAAUGAAAUACUAAAGCUUCUGGGGGCAGGUAUAAUUUAUCCUAUUGCUGAUAGUAGAUGGGUAAGUCCUGUUCAUUGUGUCCCUAAGAAGGGAGGUAUUACUGUCGUUCCUAAUGAUAAGAAUGAAUUGAUUCCACAAAGAAUUGUUACCGGUUAUAGAAUGGUAAUUGAUUUCCGCAAAUUGAACAAAGCUACUAGAAAAUAUCAAUGCCCUCUACCUUUUAUUGAUCAAAUGCUUGAAAGACUAUCCAAACAUACACAUUUUCUUGCUUUCUAGAUGGUUAUUCUGGUUUCUCUCAAAUACCUAUGUCAAAAGAGGACCAAGAAAAGACCACUUUUACUUGCCCUUUCGGUACUUUUGCUUGUAGAUGUAUGCCUUUCGGUUUAUGCAAUGCACCUGCUACGUUUCAAAGAUGUAUGACUGCUAUAUUCUCCAACUUUUGUGAAAAGAUUGUUGAGGUUUUCAUGGAUGAUUUCUCUGUUUACGGAACUUCUUUUGAUGAUUUCUUAAGCAACCUUGAUAGAGUUUUGCAGAGAUGUGAAGAAACUAAUCUUGUCUUGAAUUGGCAGAAGUGCCACUUUAUGGUUAAUAAAGGUAUUGUCUUGGGGCAUAAAAUUUCUGAAAGAGGUAUUGAAGUUGAUAAAUCUAAAGUAGAUGCUAUUGAGAAGAUGCCGUGUCCUAAAGAUAUCAAAGGUAUAAGAAGUUUUCUUGGUCAUGCUGGUUUCUAUAGGAGAUUUAUUAAAAUCUUCUCUAAAAUUUCUAGGCCUCUCACUAAUCUCUUGCAAAAAGAUGUUCCUUUUGUUUUUGAUGAUGAUUGUGUAGAAGGAUUUGAAAUACUUAAGAAAGCCUUGAUUACUGCACCUAUUAUUCAACCACCUGAUUGGAAUUUACCCUUUGAAAUCAUGUGUGAUGCUAGUGAUUAUGUUGUUGGUGAUGUUCUAGGACAAAGAUUUGAUAAGAAAUUGAAUGUUAUUCAUUAUGCUAGUAAAACUCUAGACAGUGCCCAGAGAAAUUAUACUACUACUGAAAAGGAAUUUUUAGCAGUUGUAUUUGCUUGUGAUAAGUUCAGAUCUUAUAUUGUUGAUUCCUAAGUAACUAUUCACACUGAUCAUGCUGCUAUUAACUAUCGUAUGGAAAACAAAGAUGCUAAACCUGGACUUAUUAGAUGGGUUCUCCUAUUGAAAGAAUUUGAUUUGCAUAUUAUUGAUAGAAAGGGAGCUGAGAACCCCGUUGCAGACAACUUGUCUAGGUUAGAAAAUGUUCUUGAUGACCCACUGCCUAUUGAUGAUAGCUUUCCUGAUGAGCAAUUAGCUGUCAUAAAUGCUUCUCGUAAUACUCCAUGGUAUGCUGAUUAUGCUAAUUACAUUGUUGCUAAAUUUAUACCACCUAAUUUCACAUACCAGUAAAAGAAAAAGUUUUUCUAUGAUUUAAGACAUCACUCUUGGAAUGACCCACACCUUUAUAAAGAAGGAGUAGAUGGUGUUAUUAGAAGUUGUGUAGCUGAGCAUGAACAGGAACAGAUCCUAUGGAAGUGUCACUCCGAGGCUUAUGGAGGACACCAUGCUGGAGAUAGAACUGCACACAAGGUAUUAUAAUAUGGUUUUUGUUGGCCUACUCUCUUCAAGGAUGCUCGUAAGUUUGUCAUGUCUUGUGAUGAAUGUCAAAGAAUUGAUAAUAUUAGUAGACAUCAGGAAAUUCCUAUGAAUUAUUCACUUGUUAUUGAACCAUUUGAUGUUUGGGGCUUUGAUUAUAUGGGACCUUUUCCUUCCUCUAAUGGGUAUACACAUAUUUUAGUUGUUGUUGAUUACGUUACUAAGUGGGUAGAAGCUAUUCCAACUAGUAGUGAUGAUCAUAACACUUCUAUUAAGAUGCUUAAAGAAGUUAUUUAUCCGAGGUUUGGAGUCCCUAGAUAUUUAAUGACUGAUGGUGGUUCACAUUUUAUUCAUGGUGCUUUCGUAAAAUGCUUGCUAAAUAUGAUGUUAACCAUAGAAUUGCAUCUCCAUAUCAUCCUCGGUCUAGUGGUCAAGUAGAAUUGGGCAAUAAAGAGAUUAAAUUGAUUUUGCAAAAGACUGCUAAUAGAUCUAGAAAGAAUUGGUCUAAGAAACUUAAUGAUGCCUUAUGGCCUUAUAUAACUGCGUAUAAAAACCCUAUGGGUAUGUCUCCAUAUAAAAUGGUUUAUGGAAAAGCAUGUCACUUACCUCUUGAACUAGAACAUAAAGCUUAUUGGGCAAUCAAAGAGCUCAACUAUGAUUUCAAACUUGCUAGUGAAAAGAGGUUAUUUGACAUAAGCUUGCUCGAUGAAUGGAGGACCCAAGCCUAUGAGAAUGCCAAGUUGUUUAAAGAAAAAGUUAAAAGAUGGCAUGACAAAAUGAUACAAAAGCGUGAGUUUAAUGUAGGUGAUCAUGUUUUGCUAUUCAACUCUCGUUUAAGAUUUUUUGCAGGAAAGCUUCUCUCUAAAUGGGAAGGUCCUUACAUUAUCGAGGAGGUUUAUCAUUCCGGUGCCAUCAAAACCAACAACGCCGAAGGCACAAAUCCGAAGGUGGUAAAUGGUCAAAGAAUCAAACAUUAUAUUUCAGGUACUCCCAUAAAUGUUGAGACAAAUAUUAUUAAUACCAUAACACCGUAGGAGUACAUAAGGGAUACUUUCCAGAAAUUUCAGACUACGAAAAGGAAUAGGUAUGUGGUACGGUAAUUAAACCGACUCCAAAACUGUUGUAAGGGAAAUUUUUCUCCAUUUUAAAAUAUUUAAAAAAUUAGGAAAAUUGAAAGUAGUCCGAAAGGUGCACGAGGAGACCACAAGGGUGGAGGGCGUGCCCUACCCCCUAGGCGCCCCCCUGCCUUGUGGCCACCUUGUGUGCCUUCCGGACUUCGUUUUCUUGUGGAACACUUCUUUUGGUCGGUAAAAAAUCAUUAUAUAUCUCCCGAAGGUUUUGACCACCGUAGCACGACAAAAUACUCUGUUCUUGUUUCGAGUUGUUUUUCUGACAGAUCUAGAUCACCAUGACGUCUCCAAGCGCCCCCAAGGACAAGUUUUUUGAGAAGGUCAUCAACCCUUACCUCGCGGAGGUGCUGCGACACCCUCAAACCAUUGAGAUGCAUGAGGGGGUUCUUCACAUCCGUGAUGUUGAAGGGACGAAGACCGGAUGCGUGGAGAUAAGACUCGAAGCAAUGGAGCAGCAUGUUUUCAAGUGCCAAGGGAUGGUGGAACAUGGACUCAACGCCAACCACUUGAUGAUCGCGGAAUUUACCAACAACCACAAGUUGGAUGCCAAGAACAUUGGGGAGGCCAUCUUCAAGCUUCAUGAGAAAAUCGAGCAUCUUCAAGCCCGGAUCUAUGACCUGCAAAACCAAAACUGUGAGUAUGAAUACAGAUUUAAGAGGACGAAUUUGGCUGCAGAUUUGAGGAUCCCAGAGACUCGUUCAUCUUUUACGAUGGUGAACCUAUGCCUUGGAAGAUGGAGGAUAAUAUUCUUACUACAUCAACAACUCCAUCAUCACCACCGCUGAAGAAAGAGACAUAAAUACACGGGUAUGGGCACUCCCCUUGGCAACUGCCAAGCUUGGGGGAGGUGCCCCGGUAUCGUAUCGUAUCACCAUCACACCUUUACUUUUAUCGUUUUUCUUAGUUCAAUCCUUUUGGUUAUAUCUUGAUCUAGUAGAAUAAAAUUUUAGUAUGAUCUAGCUUUGAGUUUUGCUUUGAGAUCUACCUAUGUAAUCGAGUCCGUGAGCUAUAUAAUAAAGAUUAGUUUUGAGUUGAGGGCUUUACUUUCUUGCUAUGAUCUUGAGGGAAUAAAAUAAGAGAAAGAAUAAAAAUAAAUAAACAGAUCAUAUAAUUAUCUUAUGGAGAGUAAUGACUUCACAUAUAAAGAGUAUGAUGAAUAAAAUUUGUUAAGAGUUGACAAACAUAGUUUUGGUCAUUGUUGCAGCUAAAAGGAAGUAAUAAAGAAAGAGAGGUUUCACAUAUAAAUAUACUAUCUUGGACUUAUUUUGUAAUUGUGAGCACUCAUUAAAAUAUGACAUGCCAAAAAGUUGAUGUUGGACAAGGAAGACAACAUAAUGGGUUAUGUUUUCUGAUAUCGGAAUAGAAGUUAUAUUGUCGUGGAUCCUCCAACAUGUUGGGCUUGCUUUUCCCUCUUAUGCUAGCCAAAUCCUUUGCACCAAGUAGAGAUACUACUUGUGCAUCCAAAUAUCCCUUAACCCAAUUUUGCCAUGCGAUUUCACCAUACCUAGCUAUGGAUUGAGUAAGAUCCUUCAAGUAAGUUGUCAACGGUGCAGGCAAUAAAAUUGCUCUCUAAAUAUGUAUGCUCUAUUAGUGUGAAGAAAAUAAGCUUUAUACGAACUUGUGAUAUGGAAGAAAUAAAAGCGACGGACUGCAUAAUAAACUUCUUUAUCACAAGCGGCAAUAUAAAGUGACGUUCUUUCGCAUUAAGAUUUUGUGCAUCCAACCAUAAAAGCGCAUGACAACCUCUGCUUCCCUCUGCGAAGGGCCUAUCUUUUACUUUUAUCUUCUACCCUUAUACAAGAGUCAUGGUGAUCUUCACCUUUCCUUUUUACACUUUUUCCUUUGGCAAGCACUAUGUGUUGGAGAAAGAUCCAGAAAUAUAUAUAUCCACUCGGAUGUAGGUUAUCAUAAAGUAUUAUUGUUGACAUUACCCUUGAGGUAAAAUGUUGGGAGGCAAAACUAUAAGCCCCUAUCUUUCUCUGUGUAUGACUGAGGCUUUGAACCCAUAAGUAUUGCGUGAGUGUUAGCAAUGUUGAAAGACUAAAUGAUAGUUGAGUAUGUGGACUUGCUGAAAAGCUCGUAAAUUGACUCUUUCCGAUGUUAUGAUAAAUUGCAAUUGCUUCAAUGACUGAGAUCAUAGUUUGUUAGUUUUCAAUGAAGUUUUGAUUCAUACUUUACCUUGUGAACGAAUUGUUACUUUAGCAUAAGAAAUUAUAUGACAAUAUAUGUUGUUGUUCUAAAGAUGAUCAUCAUGCCCUCAUGUCCGUAUUUUAUUUUAUCGACACCUCUAUCACUAAACAUGUGGACAUAUUUUUCGAUUUCGGCUUUCGCUUGAGGACAAGUGAGGUCUAAGCUUGGGGGAGUUGAUAUGUCCAUUUUGCAUCAUGCUUUUAUAUUGAUAUUUAUUGCAUUAUGGGCUGUUAUUACCUAUUUUGGUACAAUACUUAUGCCUUUUCUCUCUUAUUUUACAAGGUUUACACGAAGAGGGAGAAUGUCGGCAGCUGGAAAAGGAGCAAAUAUUAUGGACAUAUUCUGCAUAACUCCAAAAGUCCUGAAAAAAAUUUGGAGAGUCAUUUUGGAAUUAAUAAAAUAUAUUGGGCGAAGAAAGCACCAGAGGGGGCCCACCAGCCAUCCUCAAGGGUGGGGGCGCACCCUACCCCCCUGGGCGCGCCCCCUGCCUUGUGGGCUCCCUGGCAGCCGUCCGGUGCCCAUCUACUGCUCUAUGGUGUGUUUUGACCUGGAAAAUAUCAGAAGGAAGCUUUCGGGAGAAGCGUCGCCGUCUCGAGGUGGAACUUGGGAAAAAUCAAUCUAGGGCUCCGGCGGAGCUGUUCUGCCAGGGAAACUUCCCUCCGGGAGUGGGAAACCGAAGCCAUCGUCAUCACCAACGAUCCUCUCAUCGAGAGGGGGUCAAUUUCCAUCAACAUCUUCACCAGCACCAUCUCCUCUCAAACCCUAGUUCAUCUCUUGUAUCCGAUCUUUAUCUCAAAACCUCAAAUUGUUACCUGUGGGUUGCUAGUAGUGUUGAUUACUCCUUGUAGUUGAUGCUAGUUGGUUUAUUUGGUGGAAGAUCAUUUGUUCAGAUCCUGAAUGAUAAUUAAUACUCCUCUGAUUUGAACAUGAAUAUGCUUUGUGAGUAGUUACGUUUGUUCCUGAGGACAUGGGAGAAGUCUUGUUAUAAGUAAUCAUGUGAAUUUGAUAUUCGUUCGAUAUUUUGAUGAGAUGUAUGUUUUCUUUCCUCUAGUGGUGUUAUAUGAACGUCAACUACAUGACACUUCACCAUGAUUUGGGCCUAGGGGAAGGCAUUGGGAAGUAAUAACUAGAUGAUGGGUUGCUAGACUGACAGAAGCUUAAACCCUAGUUUAUGCGUUGCUUCGUAAGGGGCUGAUUUGGAUCCAUAUGUUUCAUACUAUGGUUAGAUUUAUCUUAAUUCUUCUUUCGUAGUUGCGGAUGCUUGCGAGAGGGGUUAAUCAUAAGUGGGAGGCUUUUCCAAGGAAGGCCAACACCCGACCAUCGAUCCACCCACAUAUCAAAUUAUCAAAGUAACGAACGUGAAUCAUAUGAGCAUGAUGAAAAUUAGCUUGACAAUAAUUCUCAUGUGUCCUCGAGAGCGCUUAGUUACUUUUGUUACUUUAGUUAAUCAUAAGAGUUCGUCCAGGCUUGUCCUUUGCUACAAAAAGGAUUGGGCCACCUUGCCGCACCUUAGUUACUUUUGUUACUUGUUACCCGUUAUGAAUUAUCAUAUCACAAAACUAUCUGUUACCGAUAAUUUCAGUGCUUGCAGAGAAUACUUUGCUGAAAACCACUUGUCAUUUCCUUCUGGUCCUCGCUGGGUUCGACACUCUUACUUAUCGAAAGGACUAUGAUAGACCCACUAUACUUGUGGGUCAUCACUACCCAAUACAAUCAAAAGGUCGAUAUGAUGAAGAAGACUAGGCAAUACAUUUGUACAUUAACACUCCCCCUCAGGUGUGGCUCCCUCAGGUCUAAACGUGGAACGAAAGUCGACUGCAAUUUAAUUGCGCUAGCCGCUCUUGAACUCAAGACCUCUUGGCUCUGAUACUAUGUAGAUUGUGCAUGCUCUAGGGAAUGCAACAAAAAAAACUGAUCUGAUGGAAGAGACUAGCCAAUACAUUUAAACGUCAACACGAGUUAAUAUGCAUUCAUAUUCAUAUCGCAUCCGUGUGUAAGUGUGCAUGUGAGAUAUUCCAAAGAACAAAAACAUAUGUAGAAUAUACAAAAGUUCCUCUUGUUGAGCUGGAUUUAACACUGUAAAACUAUGUAUGUCGAAUUUGUUAAGUAAGAGCUUCUACAACCGGAGCUCCCACAUCCAUCUUAAACUUCUUAAAUUGCUUAAUUAGAUCCCUCUGUGUUAGUAUGGUAGGGUCUAAAGGCAAUUGAUAGUAAAACCUAUCACUAAUUGUCAAGCUACCAUCGGGCAAGUGAUUGUGUGACACCCAUGCCGUAUCUUCAACAACAUCAUGAAGCUGCUGGGUGGCACCAACCCACUGUUCAAAAUAUCUUCUGAUUUAGCGAUUUAUCAUCUAAUUUAUCGCUACUCGGGGGUGACCGGUAAGAUUAUACCUUAUCUUCACCGUUUAUCAUUUGGGCUGAUUUAUCGCUCUGAUAAGCGAUUUAUUGGGAAUCUACCGAUAAAGCGGGCCUAUCAUAGCACUAUGCUUGCAAAAACUAUGUUUAUUUGUGUUUGAUGAACCUUGUUAUGCAAUAUGUACUAUUAUUGUAUUUUGUUUGUCAUCAUACGAGGAUUCAAUGGCUAGGAAUCAAGGUAACACUUUAGUCCAAUAUUGUCUUGGUGUUGAAUAUAGCAUAUUUUAGUGUUGGGAGCCUAGGAUUUGUAAAAAAUGACCGAUUAAUAGUCGACAGAUAAAAUCGAUUAUUCGGCCGAUUUCUGAUUAAUCUCUAAUCCCCAGCUGACCGCGACGCUAACGAUAAGUGAUAUCCUCAACAUUGCACCAACCUAUGCAAAGUAGCAGCAUGACCGCACUGUUCGAAACAUAAAAAGGGAAUCACAAAACAACACAAGACAAUGGUUGAUUUCUUUACCCAAUGGGAGAGAUGACACUUUCAUCGGGUUCCAGAGGCCGCCGUCCCUCGCCGCCGUUAUGAUCCAGGGGAAUGGAAGCUGUGGAGGCAACGAGGUAGCGACGGAUCAGCGGGAGGACAUGAAUAGAAGUGGCGGGCGAAAGGGGGUCUACCAACUAAAAUUUAGGGAUGGGUCACUAUCGAGCAUAGCAGGUGAGCCCACAAUGGAGAAAGACACGCAUCAGAAGGGCUAAAUGGAAAUUAUGGCCGUAAUGGCAGCCCCCACAUCGACGGACACUCAAAGAGUCUUGUCGUCAAUAUUGGUGGCCCACAUCGGAGUGGAAAAUGGAAAUUAUGGCACAACGUUGGCCCCCCACAUCGCCCGAAAGGGUCAAUCAAAUCUCCUUGUGGCUGCAUUUGAUGUGGCGAAGUGGUGGGUCCAAAAAGGAAGGAAACAACCCAAAGUUGACGGAGAUGACAUGCAGUGUCAUACACCUAAUUUUUUCACAAUCAUUAGUGGUCUAGACCGAAAUAUGGAAGUUUGAGUGGCAGGACUCGAACAUGCAACUCUGGCAGUGGCACGGGCCGAUUCUUCCCAAAAAUAUAAUAUGAAAACUUUUUCAUGAUGGGUUUGAGGAUAUUGAUUGCUAUCGUACAUUUUAAUAUUUCCUUCUUAUAAACUAGAUCAAAGUGUAAUCAAACAAAACUAAUAUGCACUCUAUUCUGAAAUGAGGGGAGUAAGCCCUACCUAUUAGACAACAUGACCGUGGCUAUUGAUGAUUUUUGGGUACUAGUAAUGUCAUUUGAUAGGAUUGUUUUUGGCAUUUAUUUGGAUAAGUAUAACCUUUAUCCAACCAAAACUGAAACAUAUCAUUUAAUGACAUUAAUUGGAUAAGGAUAACCCCCACAAAGGAUAAGGAUAACCUUGAUGCCACCACAUCUAUAUAAGGCGACUGAAUUGUACCCGUCAUGACCACAAAAACAUACUGGUUGGCAGACUAUUGCAUAACUAUAUAUUUUCUGUUGUUUUGUGUUCUUAGGCAAUGGCGAAAAAUGGCAUCUUUCAAGUGCUCAUUGUUUUUCUCAUGGCGCAAGUCUGCUUGCUCAUGAUGAUAGCAACACCGGUAGCACAUGCAGCUGCUAGACCGGUGGGGUACAAUCCAGUGUGCUGCCCUAGGAACAUCUAUUGUUGCGGGUUCGGUAGCGGAUUGGCCAAUUCACCCGCACCAUCAAUUGUAUCUUGAUGUGUGGUUUUAUUCUCCCUCAAGUAGUAAGCUCGACAUAUAAAUGAUAUAUGCGGUUCAUGUGUUACCUAAUCCUGAAUAUUUGUGAUGCUACUAUCAAGAAGGUAUUGUACUAGUUACUUACAAAAUAAAAUGGGAGGAAAUUAUUAUAUAUCUUUUUUGCAAUAUACUACAAAGAGAUUUAAGCUUAUGUAUACUUUACUCCUUUUGGAAACUAGAUUAUUUGACAGCUUUGAUUUAAAGACCCAAAAAAUGAGUGGCGUGGCAUACACGUUAAACUCAUGAGUCUGUAGUGCGUGCCUUUGGGAAUCUCUGUUUUAUCAUCAUGUUGGUCGUACAUUCCGGCGAGGUCAUCCGUGUCGUGGCAACAUGCUUUAUUUUUCAUUGAGAACAUAAUUUUAAAGCAUUUAUUGGGUAAUGGAGUAUAUCAGCAAUUACUAGCUACCAAAUACUGUUGGGCAGGCUUGUUUGUGAAUUCAGGGAUGCACACUAUGUUUCUUUUUGCAAGAAUGCCAAGUCCAUAUAUUAAAAUUGUCCAAACCUUAC
rnacentral:lncRNA from 1 species